rnacentral:rRNA from 1 species
GACGAACGCUGGCGGCGUGCCUAAUACAUGCAAGUCGAACGCAGUGGGGACGGGUGCGUAACACGUGGGUAACCUCCCAUCAGAGGGGAUAACACUUGGAAACAGGUGCUAAACCGAUACUGAUGGAUGGACCCGCUGUGCAUUAGCUAGUUGGUGAGGUAACGGCGCUCAAAGGCCACGAUGCAUAGCCGACGUGAGAGGUGGAUCGGUGAUACUGGGACUGAUACACGGGCCAGACUGCUACGGGAGGCAGCAGUAGAGAAACUUCGGGAAUGGACGAAAGUCGGGCCGAGCAACUCAGCGGGAGUGAUGACGGCCUUCGGGUUGUAAAGCUCUGUUAAUCGGGACGCGGUACCGGAAUAGAAAGCCACGGCUAACUACGUGCCAGCAGCCGCGGUAAUAC